CCUACGGGAGGCAGCAGUAGGGAAUAUUGCUCAAUGGGGGAAACCCUGAAGCAGCAACGCCGCGUGGAGGAUGAAGGUUUUCGGAUUGUAAACUCCUUUUGUUAGAGAAGAUAAUGACGGUAUCUAACGAAUAAGCACCGGCUAACUCCGUGCCAGCAGCCGCGGUAAUACGGAGGGUGCAAGCGUUACUCGGAAUCACUGGGCGUAAAGAGCGCGUAGGCGGGAUAGCAAGUCAGAUGUGAAAUCCUAUGGCUUAACCAUAGAACUGCAUUUGAAACUGUUAUUCUAGAGUAUGGUAGAGGUAGGUGGAAUUCUUGGUGUAGGGGUGAAAUGCGUAGAGAUCAAGAGGAAUACUCAUUGCGAAGGCGACCUGCUAGAACAUAACUGACGCUGAUGCGCGAAAGCGUGGGGAGCAAACAGGAUUAGAUACCCCGGUAGUC
rnacentral:rRNA from 1 species